UCACCAAUCAGUUUAUUUCAGAUUCAGGCAGAUUUGUUUAUUCUCAGUCUCAAAAGAUUAUUGAAAGCGUGAACAACUACUCAAAGAACAACUCAAUUUAAAUUAUUUAAAAAAAAAAAAUUAUUUUGCUUAAUAUUCAUACAUACUCGUUAAAAAAUAUACGCUGCUCAUACUAUUCGUAUCAAUUGUUUAUUUGUUUGUUGUUAAAAAAAAAUAACAAUAAAAACAUAACAAUGUAUCAGAAAAUCAUAGGACUAUUUUUAACAAUCUGUUUAAUAAUGACGCAUUGUUGUGGCUUGAGUCAAGCGGUUCCCAUACUUGGGGAACAAACUCAAUUUGAUGAUAAUUCCAAAGUUCAGGGAAAAUCAAAACCAAUUUUUGUUUAUUGUGAUGAAAUCGGAAACCAUUUAAAUUGUAUGCUCUUUUGUAAGAGCAUGGGACACACAUCAGGUCAUUGCGGCGGAGAUUUUAUUUGUAAUUGUUUUUAAAUUUUAAUAAACUCAUUCCAACUCCACGAAAUUUUAACACGAUCGUUUAAUGAGAUUAUUACAAUAAAUAAAAAUAUUAUUAAUAUUUGAUAAUGUUUGUCGUAUUCGCAAUCGUAUUUGUAUUUUAAAAUGUUGUUGUUACUUAUGUACUCGUACUAUAUUUGUGAUUAUUUAAAAAAAAAAUAUUAGCAUUUACUAUAUAAGUAUAUGAUUACAGAUCAACACAUACAAAAAACUUAAUUAAGCAUCUAUAUUUAUUUUAAUUAUAAAAAUAAGAAAAAAUAUCAAUAAACUAAUCUAAUUAAAAUAUUUUAUUUAAAA